rnacentral:rRNA from 1 species
UACCCGCAGCACGAGUGGUGGUCACUCUUAUUGGGCCUAAAGCGUCCGUAGCCUGUCACGUAAAUGCCUGGGUAAAUCGAUGCGCUCAACGUAUCGAAUUCCGGGUAGACUGCGUGACUUGAGACCGGGAGAGGUGUGAGGUACUCCGGGGGUAGGGGUAAAAUCCUGUAAUCCUCGGGGGACCACCAGUGGCGAAGGCGUCACACUGGAACGGUUCUGACGGUGAGGGACGAAGCCCUGGGGCGCAAACCGGAUUAGAUACCCCGGUAGUCC